rnacentral:rRNA from 1 species
GGUAACGUGUUGAGUUGACCGGUACUAAUAGGCCGAGGGCUUAACCA